UACACCACUGACGGCUGAAACGCCGUUUACUCGCCAUUAUUGGAAAGAUGAGUGGAAAUAAACUCGAUACAGGGCCGGACGUAAAGCGGUCGCACCUGCGCUCCGGUAGAGGAUAGAA
rnacentral:sRNA from 1 species